AUGACUUUGUAUAAAAAAUAUUAAAAUACAUUUAGCAGAAAAUUGUUAUGUAAUUUUAAUUAAUAAUCUUAACUCUAACAGUUUAAGUUUUCUUUUAACUGAUAGGUUUUUCAUGUAACAAAUUAAAAUAAUGUACCAUUCUCAAAUUCUUAUUAAAAACUUAUAAUAACUAUAAUAUAAAUUUUUCUAAAGAUCUUUUUUGCUCAAUUAAUAUUUGGUGUAUGGGUGCAUAAGUUGAAGAUUUGGAAGGUGAUGACCGAUUGCCACAUAUACUGGAUACAAAACAUAAAACCAAUAUUUUGGAUUCAAGAGCACAUAAAAUGCCAUUAUGAAUGAUGAAAGGAAUCUCCCAAAAAUGUAUUGAUGAAAUAUUUGAAAAUUCUUAUAGAGUAUCAAAAAAAAAAUCUAUGCAUUACAUCUACUAAGACACCCACCCCAACAAGCAUUGCGUGUUUAUUUAAAUUUGUCUAUGCAGCUUCAAUGGGCUCCACUUACCCUCACUGAGCAGAUAUUGAGACAAUUGUUACUGGUCAAUUCUCAGUCUGCUCCACAUCAGUGGAAAUGCACCCUAAAAAUGUCAUUAGAGCUUUAUAGCUCUAUAUAAUAAUUAUCUAUUAUAAGUGUUAUAAAUUGUCGGUAGCUUUUUUUAGAAAUAAACACAUUAUUUUUUUC